UAGGGAAUCUUCGGCAAUGGACGGAAGUCUGACCGAGCAACGCCGCGUGAGUGAAGAGGGUUUUCGGAUCGUAAAGCUCUGUUGUAAGAGAAGAACGAGUGUGAGAGUGGAAAGUUCACACUGUGACGGUAUCUUACCAGAAAGGGACGGCUAACUACGUGCCAGCAGCCGCGGUAAUACGUAGGUCCCGAGCGUUGUCCGGAUUUAUUGGGCGUUAAGCGAGCGCAGGCGGUUAGAUAAGUCUGAAGUUAAAGGCUGUGGCUUAACCAUAGUACGCUUUGGAAACUGUUUAACUUGAGUGCAGAAGGGGAGAGUGGAAUUCCAUGUGUAGCGGUGAAAUGCGUAGAUAUAUGGAGGAACACCGGUGGCGAAAGCGGCUCUCUGGUCUGUAACUGACGCUGAGGCUCGAAAGCGUGGGGAGCAAACAGGAUUAGAUACCCUGGUAGUCCACGCCGUAACGAUGAGUGCUAGGUGUUGGGUCCUUUCCGGGACUCAGUGCCGCAGCUAACGCAUUAAGCACUCCGCCUGGGGAGUACGACCGCAAGGUUG
rnacentral:rRNA from 1 species